AUAAAUGAUCUACUGGAACUCAGCAUGGAAAAAGCAGGGGAUUUGGGUAUUGUAUCAGGUCUGCCUCUCUUGACAUCACAAUGGCUAAGCUGGCAACUUGGCUACAUGAGAGAUAAUCAGGUAACGAUAAAGCAAUAGAGCGAUUGAAUUUUUUCAAAUAAACACAAAUUAAUGUAAAAGAGAAUGCAAAUUUAACAGAUUAAAUAC
rnacentral:lncRNA from 10 species